rnacentral:rRNA from 1 species
GAUGAACGCUGGCGGCGUGCUUAACACAUGCAAGUCGAACGAAGCACCUUGGACAGAUUCUUCGGAUGAAGUCUUUGGUGACUGAGUGGCGGACGGGUGAGUAACGCGUGGGUAACCUGCCUCAUACAGGGGGAUAACAGUUAGAAAUGGCUGCUAAUACCGCAUAAGCGCACGGUACUGCAUGGUACAGUGUGAAAAACUCCGGUGGUAUGAGAUGGACCCGCGUUGGAUUAGCUAGUUGGCAGGGUAACGGCCUACCAAGGCGACGAUCCAUAGCCGGCCUGAGAGGGUGGACGGCCACAUUGGGACUGAGACACGGCCCAGACUCCUACGGGAGGCAGCAGUGGGGAAUAUUGCACAAUGGGGGAAACCCUGAUGCAGCGACGCCGCGUGAGCGAAGAAGUAUUUCGGUAUGUAAAGCUCUAUCAGCAGGGAAGAAAAUGACGGUACCUGACUAAGAAGCCCCGGCUAACUACGUGCCAGCAGCCGCGGUAAUACGUAGGGGGCAAGCGUUAUCCGGAUUUACUGGGUGUAAAGGGAGCGUAGACGGAAUGGCAAGUCUGAUGUGAAAGGCCGGGGCUCAGCCCCGGGACUGCAUUGGAAACUGUCAAUCUAGAGUACCGGAGGGGUAAGUGGAAUUCCUAGUGUAGCGGUGAAAUGCGUAGAUAUUAGGAGGAACACCAGUGGCGAAGGCGGCUUACUGGACGGUAACUGACGUUGAGGCU